rnacentral:snRNA from 1 species
GGAUGUGAGGGCGAUCUGUCUGCGACAUCUGUCAGCCCAUUGAUCGCCAUGGUUGAUUCGGCUGAUCUGGCUGGCUAGGCGGGUGUCCCCUUCCUCCCUCACCGCUCCAUGUGUGUCCCUCCCAAAGCUGUGUGCUCCAUUGAAGAGGACAGCCUUCCCCGAAUAGAGGCGGACUGGUCUUUGGUCGAGGGUAUACAAAUAGCUGCGCUCCCCUGAUAGAACCUCCAAACAAGCUCUCAAGGAUGUGUUGAGAUGAGGGGAAGAACAAGGAUGGAUCAUAAAUAAGGAAGUGGCAUAAAUUA